AGAUACCCCACUAUGCUUCGCCCUAAACAUUGAUAGCUUUACACAACCACUAUCCGCCUGGAAACUACGAGCAACAGCUUAAAACCCAAAGGACUUGGCGGUGCUUUAGACCCACCUAGAGGAGCCUGUUCUAUAACCGAUAACCCCCGUUUAACCUCACCCUUCCUAGUCAUCCCCGCCUAUAUACCGCCGUCGCCAGCUUACCCUAUGAAGGCUUCCUAGUAAGCACAAUUGGUAGAUCCCAAAACGUCAGGUCGAGGUGUAGCGUAUGGAAGGGGAAGAAAUGGGCUACAUUCCCUAUUGCAGCGAAUCACGGAUAAUAAUACUGAAACGUGUAUCUAGAAGGAGGAUUUAGCAGUAAGCAGGAAGCAGAGUGUCCCGCUGAAACCGGCCCUGAAGCGCGCACACACCGCCCGUCA
rnacentral:rRNA from 1 species